UACGAAGGGGGCUAGCGUUGCUCGGAAUCACUGGGCGUAAAGGGUGCGUAGGCGGGUCUUUAAGUCGGGGGUGAAAUCCUGGAGCUCAACUCCAGAACUGCCUUCGAUACUGGGAGUCUUGAGUUCGGGAGAGGUGAGUGGAACUGCGAGUGUAGAGGUGAAAUUCGUAGAUAUUCGCAAGAACACCAGUGGCGAAGGCGGCUCACUGGCCCGAUACUGACGCUGAGGUGCGAAAGCGUGGGGAGCAAACAGG
rnacentral:rRNA from 1 species